GAGAGGGUGAUCGGCCACACUGGGACUGAGACACGGCCCAGACUCCUACGGGAGGCAGCAGUAGGGAAUCUUCCACAAUGGACGAAAGUCUGAUGGAGCAACGCCGCGUGAGUGAUGAAGGUUUUCGGAUCGUAAAACUCUGUUGUAAGGGAAGAACAGAUACGAGAGGUAAUGCUCGUAUCCUGACGGUACCUUGCGAGAAAGCCACGGCUAACUACGUGCCAGCAGCCGCGGUAAUACGUAGGUGGCAAGCGUUGUCCGGAAUUAUUGGGCGUAAAGCACGCGCAGGCGGCCUUUUAAGUCUGAUGUGAAAGCCCCCGGCUCAACCGGGGAGGGUCAUUGGAAACUGGAAGGCUUGAGUACAGAAGAGAAGAGUGGAAUUCCAUGUGUAGCGGUGAAAUGCGUAGAGAUGUGGAGGAACACCAGUGGCGAAGGCGACUCUUUGGUCUGUAACUGACGCUGAGGCGCGAAAGCGUGGGGAGCAAACAGGAUUAGAUACCCUGGUAGUCCACGCCGUAAACGAUGAGUGCUAGGUGUUGGGGGGUUUCCGCCCCUCAGUGCUGAAGCUAACGCAUUAAGCACUCCGCCUGGGGAGUACGGCCGCAAGGCUGAAACUCAAAGGAAUUGACGGG
rnacentral:rRNA from 1 species